rnacentral:siRNA from 1 species
AUCCUGAGAUAUGUCAAGGGUACC